CGGGGCCGAGAGGCGUAGUCGAUGCACAACCGGUUGAUAUUCCGGUACCACCACAUGCGCGCCAAUUCCAAUCACAGGUUGCUAAGGGGCUGUCUCUGGCGUUUACGCCGUUGUACGAACCGACCCACCAGUAGGCGGAAAGCCGUAGGGGGACGCAGGAAGGUAGGUGAUCCCGGGCGAUGGUAGUCCCGGGGUAAGCGUGUAGGGCGAGGUCUAGGCAAAUCCGGACCUCACGAUGCCUGAGACGUGAUACGGACCCGCUUCAGGGGAAGUCACUGAUCCUAUGCUGCCGAGAAAAGCCCAGCGGUGAGUUCAUGUGGUGCCCGUACCCCAAACCAACACAGGUGGACAGGUAGAGAAUACCAAGGCGAUUGAGAUAACUCUGGUUAAGGAACUCGGC
rnacentral:rRNA from 1 species